GAAAUACGCAAUUCUUUUCGAAAAGUUAUAAAAAGUUAUACACGAUUAAAAUCUAAACUUGGCUACAGUUUACGCACGCUCAACAACCACUAAGUUCUAUUUCACAUUAACAAAUUUUAAAAAAUGAAAUAAUAAAAUUAAAAUACUGCUAUCAGGCGUACUAUUAGUGAGUGAUUAAAUCAUUUACUUGAUAAGCAGCUUUUUUAUACCCAUCGCCGAAGGAUGAGGGGUACAUUUAUUUUGUCAAAACGUUUGCAACGCCCAGAAAUAAGCUUGAGAAAUCCAAUAAAUUAUACAAAUUCGUGAUCGGCGUCAAAUUUCGAGUCGAUUAAAAUUGUCCGUCUAUACGCUCGAUUCGAAGUGGGUGAGAAUUCGGCACUCAUGGGAUAUGGGUGACAAUGAAUGAAACAUAGGCUUGCCGCUACACUCCAGGCGUAAGACGGCUGUCAGUCGACUACGGAGCAACCAACCAAAGUUGUCCGAAACGACCCGAACAGAUCGCCUGAAGGUCAUUACUACACUGAAAUCAGAUAUAUUUGUGUUCACAGUGUUGCCAUACCUGCGUCAGAUGGGAGAGUUAUUGAGUGAUGUGAUUUGUUAGCACAUGUGGAAUCCAUUUUCUACGUAACCUCUAAAAUCUUCUGAAGCGUAAGCGAUAGCACCUUAUGGUGCUAACUAGAAAAAUUUAAAAAUCCUAAAUGAAUAUUGCGAGUUUGCUUCACUAAAAAAAGUAAACUAAGUCUAAACAUUAUAGGACUUUUUUUUUAAUGAAUGCCAAUUUUAUUAUUUAAUCCGACAUCUAAGCCAAAAACUUGUGAUUGUUAUUAUAAUUUGAAAAUGUUAAAAAAGUUCAGAAAUAUUUACAAUAUUUAACUUGUCCACCAAUCUAAUGUAUGCGCUAUAGCGAAUAUGGAAACAAUAUUUGUGAUCUUAAUUUAUUAAUUCUCUAUAUGUCGUACUUGCGUUGCGAAGUGAACCCCUAUAAUGAAUUACUGUACAAUUGAAAAUUGCUAUCAUCAGUAAUUUUUGGAAUGAUUAAAGUUCCUUUUUGCAAGCAUUUUUACAGUACAUGCUCUCGUGGUGGCCUUUAAAAACCUUUUGCGAGACACACUCAGGUAAUUCUGGACUUUAUUAUGAAUUCUUAUCAGCUCAUCAUUAUAUUUUUUUACAUUUAAAAACCAAUAACCAUAUUAUGGUUGGGCAAGGACGAUCCUUAAACAUCCUACAUCACUUGGUUUAUAUUUUUUUAUUUACUUUCGGAUAAAGGCAUAGUUUUCAGGAAGGGAGGGCGCCCAAGACAUAAAUUCAAUCAUCGCUAAAUUUGUUCGUAAAAUUUCGUGAAAAUAACUCAAAAGUGGCGGCUUGUUGAUUGAACGCAAAAACGUACGAUCAGACAUCAAACGAAUAAACAGACCGGCAAAUAAAUAGACAGACGGAGAGACGGAGAGAAAGUUAAACUGAUGCACAAUAUGAUCGAGAAUCGUUCAGUAUUAUGCCAGUUUGGUAUGUCCUUUAAGUUUUUCUAGGUUUUACCCAUACAAUCGCAAAAACUUAACAUACACUAAACUGCAGCUGGCUCAGGGUAUAAAUAUUCAAAUGGAAACG